rnacentral:rRNA from 1 species
CGGCGGACGGGUGAGUAAUGCCUAGGAAUCUGCCUGGUAGUGGGGGACGAACGUUUCGAAAGGAACGCUAAUACCGCAUACGUCCUACGGGAGAAAGCAGGGACCUUCGGGCCUUGCGCUAUCAGAUGAGCCUAGGUCGGAUUAGCUAGUUGGUGAGGUAAUGGCUCACCAAGGCGACGAUCCGUAACUGGUCUGAGAGGAUGAUCAGUCACACUGGAACUGAGACACGGUCCAGACUCCUACGGGAGGCAGCAGAG